AACGAACGCUGGCGGCAUGCCUAACACAUGCAAGUCGAACGAGACCUUCGGGUCUAGUGGCGCACGGGUGCGUAACGCGUGGGAACCUGCCCGUAGGUUCGGAAUAACUCCCCGAAAGGGGUGCUAAUACCGGAUAAUGUCUUCGGACCAAAGAGUUAUCGCCUUUGGAUGGGCCCGCGUUGGAUUAGCUGGUUGGUAGGGUAAAAGCAUACCAAGGCACCGAUCCAUAGCUGGUCUGAGAGGAGGAUCAGCCACACUGGGACUGAGACACGGCCCAGAAUCCUACGGGAGGGAGCAGUGGGGAAUAUUAGACACUGGGCGAAAGCCUGAUAAAGCAAUGCCGCGUGAGUGAUGAAGGCCUUAGGGUUGUAAAGCUCUUUUACACGGGAUGAUAAUGACAGUAACGGGAGAAUAAGCUCCGGCUAACUACGUG
rnacentral:rRNA from 1 species